GAUGAAGAACGCAGCGAAAUGCGAUAAGUAGUGUGAAUUGCAGAAUUCAGUGAAUCAUCGAAACUUUGAACGCACAUUGCGCCUCCUGGCAUUCCAGGGGGCAUGCCUGUUUGAGCGUCAUUUAGUAAUCUUCGAGCGAGUUCGCCUCGCUUGGGCCUGGGAGAUGGAUGCGCGCUGGUGCACCCACCCCCAAAAUACAACGGUGGAUACCCCGCCCUUGGAACUGCAGCGUAGAAAGUCAUUCUUUCGCGAGCGGCCACGGAGGGAUUAUCCAGCCCGGCAAACCCCCAAAUCCAACGGUUGAACUCGGAUCAGGUAGGAAUACCCGCUGAACAUAAGCAUAUCAAUAAGCGGAGGA
rnacentral:misc_RNA from 1 species